UUGCAUGGAGCCAUCCUUGAAAUACCACCCUGAAGUGCUUGACGUUCUAACCUCGGCCCGUAAUCCGGGUCAGGGACCGUGUAUGGUGGGUAGUUUGACUGGGGCGGUCUCCUCCCAAAGAGUAACGGAGGAGCACGAAGGUACGCUCAGCGCGGUCGGACAUCGCGUACUGUGUGCAAAGGCAUAAGCGUGCUUGACUGCGAGAUCGACGGAUCAAGCAGGU
rnacentral:rRNA from 1 species